rnacentral:rRNA from 1 species
CCCUUAGAUGUCCUGGGCCGCACGCGCGCUACACUGACAUGUUCAACAAGCCUCCUAGUUCGACAGGAUUUGGGAAAUCUUUGAACGCAUGUCGUGAUAGGGAUAGAUCAUUGCAAUUAUUGAUCUUGAACGAGGAAUUCCUAGUAAACGCGAGUCAUCAGCUCGCAUUGAUUACGUCCCUGCCCUUUGUACACACCGCCCGUCGCUCCUACCGAUUGAGUGGUCCGGUGAGGCUUUGGGAUCUGAGCGGAAAGAGCGUUUCGCUGUUUCUGCUCGGAAAACUCAGUCGAACCUUAUCAUUUAGAGGAAGGAGAAGUCGUAACA